AUGCUUCUUCUGCUGCUGUUUAGUCUUUUACUUGCACCAGCAAGCAAGCAAACAAGCAAGGACCAGCAGGAUCUUUCUAGCAUCGCUAGAAAUGCUGGAGAUGCAGACUGCAGCAACCAAAAGUGGACAAGAAUGUUUCUUCUUCGGGAGCUUGCUUGCUCAUCCAUACAUCAAGCCUGGCUUUUGUCGCAGCAGCAGCACCAACAAUCUUCUUUAUUUAUCUGUGCACUGUUGCUGUUGCAUCCAGGCAGAUUCAGUGCCUGCCUUCCUCCUCUCAUCUGCUGGACUGGACUGCUGUCUGUGAACCCACUUAAACUGUUACCACUAUGUAAUGAGUAG
rnacentral:rRNA from 1 species